rnacentral:rRNA from 1 species
UACAGAGGUGGCAAGCGUUGUUCGGAAUUACUGGGCGUAAAGCGCGUGUAGGCGGCUGCGCAAGUCGGAUGUGAAAUCCCGUGGCUCAACCACGGAAGUGCACCCGAAACUGCGUAGCUGGAGUCUCGGAGAGGAAGGUGGAAUGCUUGGUGUAGAGGUGAAAUUCGUAGAUAUCAAGCGGAACACCGGUGGCGAAGGCGGCCUUCUGGACGAUGACUGACGCUGAGACGCGAAAGCGUGGGGAGCAAACAGG